GAUGAACGCUGGCGGCGUGCCUAAUACAUGCAAGUCGAGCGAACAGACGAGGAGCUUGCUCCUCUGACGUUAGCGGCGGACGGGUGAGUAACACGUGGAUAACCUACCUAUAAGACUGGGAUAACUUCGGGAAACCGGAGCUAAUACCGGAUAAUAUAUUGAACCGCAUGGUUCAAUAGUGAAAGACGGUUUUGCUGUCACUUAUAGAUGGAUCCGCGCCGCAUUAGCUAGUUGGUAAGGUAACGGCUUACCAAGGCAACGAUGCGUAGCCGACCUGAGAGGGUGAUCGGCCACACUGGAACUGGGACACGGUCCAGACUCCUACGGGAGGUAGCAGUAGGGAAUCGUCCGCAAUGGGCGAAAGCCUGACGGAGCAACGCCGCGUGAGUGAUGAAGGUCUUCGGAUCGUAAAACUCUGUUAUUAGGGAAGAACAAAUGUGUAAGUAACUAUGCACGUCUUGACGGUACCUAAUCAGAAAGCCACGGCUAACUACGUG
rnacentral:rRNA from 1 species